rnacentral:lncRNA from 1 species
CGACAAGUCAGACGCAGACGGUACAUUUUCACUAGCCUUCGGAGCGCGCUAACACUAUUGGGACAUAAAUUAUUAACUUUCUUGAACAAAACUACAUUUGUUAUGGACCUGGGAUUCCUAGAAGUGCCUUCUGAUAAAGAUAAUCAAAGGACCUGAGCCCUAGGACCAUGCCUCAGGACUGCCUGGCAUGAUGACUCCUUGCUGUCCACCUGGCCGUGCUGCUGCUGCACUUUCAACUGUUCUGCCUGCGGCUUUGGAACCCUGACCUGUUCACCGGACGUGCUACCUGUCCCAGACCUGCUGUUUUCAACUCUCUAGAGACAGCAGGAGCGGUAGAGAUACUCUGAAUGAUCGGCUAUGAAAAGCCAACUGACAUUUACUCCUGAGGUGCUGACCUGUUGCACCCUCGACAACUACUGUGAUUAUUAUUAUUUGACCAUGCUGGUCAUUUAUGAACAUUUGAACAUCUUGGCCAUCUUCUGUUAUAAUCUCCACCCGGCACAGCCAGCAGAGGACUGGCCACCCCUCAUUGCCUGGUUCCUCUCUAG